rnacentral:lncRNA from 1 species
GUGAGCCUUGGAACCCCAAAGAACUUCCGGUGCAUUUGUAAACAGCUGGUCUGUUGCGGCUGUAAACAGUUUAAAACUUGCCUGCAUGGAUAGUAACGUUAGCAGCAGGAGGUGGCGGCACCAGGAUAAUGUGUAGCACACGGACAUAGAGACCUGUGAAAGCUGCUAAACCCAGUCUACGGAUGAAGGGCUCAAAGAAAGUUCCAAGUCCUGGAGAGACUGAAGGAUGUGCAGCUGAAGCUGAUGUCCUUGAUCAUUGGUGUAGGUGUAACAAUCCUUGUAUGGCAGACCUAGGACGCAACCCCUGUCCACAACAGCACUUCAUACCAAGAAAGCAGUGCCCAUUAUCCUACCAAAACCAUGAUCUUGGUUGGGCAAGGAUAAAAGUACUUCAGGGCAGGUGCAUGGUGUAGCUCAGCAGACCCUAGCGUACAGGCUGUGCGGCCCGGGUGACCCAUGGUUGUCGCAGUGGACCACCCACAUUGCUUGCACCAGACGAUGAAAAUUAUCUGGGGCAGUACUGUAUCUACUGCACCAGGCAUGGGUUCCCCUUCACCAGACAGAGGCUGAUGAAAUACGCCGACAAAAUACACAGGUUUCGGCACCCAUGGGAAACAAUCCCACCACUGGGGAAGAGGUGGUGGGAAAUGUUUAGGAGGAGGCACAAGAACCUGAGCAUGAGGAGGCCAGACACUCUGGACUGGGGGAGAGCUGAGUGUGCUACACGUCUGACGACGGACGCCUUCUUCACUUCUUAUGAGAAGCACUUGGAGGAGAGUGGGUUGAGGGAGAAACCCAGACAAAAUCUAUAACUGCGAUGAGUCUGGGUUUCGAAGCGACUAGAGCAGGCACAAAGUGCUUGCUCCCUGGGGUGCAAAACACAUGUACCAGCAGGCUCCUGCUUCAACGCAGCUGGGGAGGACGUCCCCCAGUUUAUCAUCUACCCCAAGUGUUUCUCCCCCCCAGCCUUUGGAUGGUAAAACAGUGGCUACAUUGACGGGAACCUGUUCAGGAAGUGGUUUCAGCACUUCAUUAAGCAUGCAGUGAAGGAGCGCCCUCUCCUUCUCCUCUUUGAUGGGCACAAGAGCCACAUGGACCCGGAGGUGCUCGCUGCGGCACUAAGGGAAGGGGUUAUACUGCUUUGUCUUCCACCACACUGCACCCAUGUCCUGCAGCCGCUGGACGUGGCAUACUUUGGUCCUUUAAAGGCGGAGUUCUCCAAGGUAGCCAUUUUGACCACUCCUACAUGGUAAACAAAUCAGAAUUUGCCAGAGUAUUCCGCUACCCGUACCAGCGCUGCAAGGACAUGUGCUAUGUGGUGGAAAGGUUUAAGAAGUGUGGCCUCUUCCCUUUUGACCCUUCAACUAUUGAAGGGUCCUGUUGAAUGCCGUCUCGGUCCCUACCGGAUCCCACCACCGCCUCCCCUGGAACCAGCAGCACUGUGCCAUCCAUCAGCGCCUCCUCCCCAGCGACCACAGGAGGACCCUCAGCCCCUGAUCCAGUCCCAGCUCCAGCCCUAGCUCUAGAAGAGCACCCCCUAUUAGAGGGGGGGCUGAUAGCAAAGGACCUGGGGCACAUACUUACUGUCCUGAAGUAUCAGCUAGACCGAUAAAGAAGACUCCCUGUGGUCGCUGCAUGCCUCACCGGGGAGGAAUACACGCGCCAUUGGCAGGAGAGGGGCGAGAAGGAGAGGGCCGAGGCAGAGGAGAAAGAACGUCGGGCAGCCCUCAGAACACAGAGGGCAAAGGAGAGGGCUGCCAUGGAUGAGACCAUUGACGCCUCUGCUGGAGGCCCCGCUGGAACCACUCCUGACAGCUGCAUCACCAUUGCCAGUGUCUCCCAGUGUGCAACACCUGUAGGAGCCGCCGGAGUCCCCAGCUGCAGAAGAAGGCCACGUGCCUACUCUCCUGACUAUCGUCGGCCCCUCAACCCCAACAUUACACCAGCUCCUCCAAGCCAUCGUCAGCGGUUUCGUCCACCACCACGAUGCACACCACCCCCCCUGUCUGGCACCAGUAACGCGGCCUACUCUGGCCCAGCUGCCUCCUCUGUCUCCCCUGGUCACACCACCAUAGCAGCCUUGUCUGGUGUCCCUGCAAUUCGAAUACAGCCACCUCCACAGUCCACAGCACCCGCCCUCAAGCACAGAAAAGAGAAAAGCUCCACCGGCCACCUCUGUCACACCACCCAUGGCACCACUCUCAGAAGACACCACCUGCUGUGCUCGCUGCGGAGAGCAUGAUCCACCUGCAAGCUUUCCGCAGGAGUGUAGGUCCGAGGUGCCAUGGGUGUGUUGUGACUUCUACCAGCACUGGUUCCACUGCAGGUGUGUGCAGUGGGAUCCAGAGGUGGCGGUGAAGAUUGAUUUUUGUUGUGAUUUUGUUGACAAUAUAGGGAUUGAGGUCAAGAUUUAAUUGUUUGUUUUCAUAUUAAAUUAGUUAUUUGUAAAAAGAAAUAUGCUAAAAGAUAAUAUAUAUAUACAUAUUUAUUCAACCCAUCUUGUGUAUUUCUUCCUUUACUUUCCAAGUGCAUCUCUGCAACACAAACUCAUGUCAAUGCACAUGACUGAAAUUCAAGUUUUAUUUGAUGUAAAUUAUUCAUACUCAUUUAUAUUUUAGUAUUAAACUGUGAUCUAUUUUCUCAAAACACAAGAUUAAUCUGUAAAACUAAUUAUGAGACAUUAUUUGGUUACAACACUGAAUAUGUUGGUGAAGAACCAUU